CAGGAACAUUUCAAAUUGGCUUAAAGCAUUGUUUUGGAGGUGUGAAUAAUGAAGCCAAGGACAUUAGCAACAUCAUGAAAGCAGAGGCAUCAAGUGAAUAGAGAAGAUUCUAUGGAUGUAGAAGAGGUCCCUGGGUUUCCGAAUUGCCACUGGAUUGCCUCUAUCAAAUACACAAGAGUUUCAUGAGUGAGAAAUAACCUUCUGUUGCUUUAAAUCUUGGGUUGUGCAAUACAUCAGUGAGCCUACCAUGACUAAUACAUUCUAUGGAUGCAGAUUUCUCUUCUCUGGCCAUUGACAUGAGUGUGCUUUCUGGAUGCAGUCACAGGGGACCCAAGAUUCUUGGACAGAAUUCUCGCCGGGAGCCAACUCAGCCUGAUCUGCUGGCAUCUCUCAAGUAUCAGAAGUCAACAAAAUGGUUUGCCUUGAAGACUUGGCCAGAGCAGCAGCCAAAGUUCAUAAGGCUUUCGUAGAGAGAUUGUUUGUCUAAGAAAACAAAAUUCUAAGGGCUCCCAUUGUGCAGCUGGGGUGGCAAAAUGCAAACUAAUAUAAGGAAAAAAAAUGCUUUUCAUUUCCAUGGAAGAAAUGACCCAUCCUAUUGUUGAUAUUUCCUUUUCUGUGCUAACUUAUUCCAUUAAUUAGGCUCUCGUUUUAUGAGAUAAUUUCACUGCAUGCGUAUCUUCUUUUGGUUAUUACACAAGGACUGUUUUCUAUGGUUCAUAUCUAAGUCCAACCCUGGAAAAAUCUUUUUUUUUGAGACAGCCUUUUUU
rnacentral:lncRNA from 10 species